rnacentral:rRNA from 1 species
UACGGGGGGGGCAAGCGUUGUUCGGAAUUACUGGGCGUAAAGCGCGCGUAGGCGGCUUUUCAAGUCGGGCGUGAAAGCCCCGGGCUUAACCCGGGAAUGGCGCUCGAUACUGUUGAGCUAGAGUGUGGAAGGGGCUACUGGAAUUCCGUGUGUAGCGGUGAAAUGCGUAGAUAUCGGAAGGAACAUCAGUGGCGAAAGCGACUUCCUGGACCAGUACCGACGUUCAGGCACGAAAGCGUGGGGAGCAAACAGG